ensembl:lncRNA
AGGACAUGGGAGCGCAGUGCUCCAUGAGCGGGAUUUCCGACAGCGCAACUCCGCUCACAUACUCUGUAACCAACUAUAGACAAUUUAUACACAUUCAUCAUUACUACCAACACACCAAGGGUUUCUCGCUGUAAUGGGUGCCAAGGACCUGAAGUCGACAGUGUGGCAGAUGCUACCUUGCAUUCUGUCAAACAGUCUUGCCAUUACCGCCGCCUGGGCAGGGGAUGAGGCCUGUUUCAGGAACUUGUUUCUGAUGACCAUUCUUCACAGAGCCAUUCGGAAGAACCCUGCAACCCGAGAUGCCACGGAUGAAGGGGUCCAGAUUCAGAUCACCCGUUACCAGAAAGGGGACUCUGAUUGUGUUAGGCAGUGCACAGGGGAGAUGGAUCCACUGCAGGGAAGUCAACAUCAAGUCUCGGACCACCCUGUGUCAAAGCCAGCCCCUUUCCCCAAGCCACAAGACUAAUCCAACAACUGAACCCUGGACUGACUACUGCACCACACACUUACCAUUUAUUCAUAUUCUGUACACAUCAAGAAUGGUCCACCACCCAAAAGACAUCCAGACAACUUGACUUAACUGUGGGAAGUAUUGGCUUCAACAUGGACCAGUAUCCCUGUGUAAUGCUUUCGACACCUUGUAGAGGCCAGGCCCCGACGAAUUGAAGCUGCAACUCAAUAUUAGGAAGGCGUUCUUAAAGUUUUAUACUCUACGUAUAUACUUUCAGCAGCGGCUCAGGUGCGGGACGCAGACCCCGCUCCACCGCUGGCUCACCCCACUUUGGUGGCACCUCUGGUGCGGGGAUCUUCGCCGCGGGCCACGGACUGGAGGGCGACUGAAUGCGCCUGGCUGGAGGGCGACUCUGGAGGCGCCGGGCUGGGCGCAGGCACAGGACUCACCGGGUUGGGGAGACACACAGGAGACCUGGGUCUGGGAGACAUACAGGAGGCCUAUUCCUAGGCCGAGGCACCGGAUACACUGGGCUGUGGAGGCACACUGGCGGUCUUGAGUGCAGAGCUGGCACCACCCGUUCUGGCAGGAUGCCCGCUUCCACUCGGCAAAUGCGGGACGCUGGCACCGAGCACACCGGCCUGUGAAUGCUCAGUCUCGACACAGUGCGCAUCACCCCAUAGCACAGGGCCUGACCAGCCACAUGCUCGCCCCGGUAAGCACGGGGAGUUGGCUCAGGUCUCCAACCUGACUCAGCCACCCUCACCAUGUGUCUCCCCCCAAUUUUUUGGGGGGGGCUGCCUCUUGGGCUUCCUUGCCAGUCGUGUUCCCUCAUAAAGUUGCCUCUCCGCCUUAGCUGCCUCCAGUUCCUCCCGUGGACGGCGAUACUCCCCAGCCUGCCUCCAGGGUCCCUUACCAUCCAUGAGUCCUCUUUACCACGCUGCUUGGUCCUUUGGUGGUGGGAGGUUUUGUCACGGCCGUUAAAAGAACUGGACCAAGGUGCAGCGUGGUGAACGUACAUUUUCUCUUUUAUUCGGAAUGACGCCGACAAAAUAAUACGUGGGUUAACAAAGUUAACCUCCCACAAACACAGGUGGGAAAAAGGGUACCUAAGUAUUGUUCCAAAUCAGAGACAACGAUAAACAGCUGUCCCUGAUUGAUUACCAUACCCGGCCAAAACAUAGAAAUAGAAAAUCAUAGAAACACAAAACAUAGAAUGCCCACUCCAACUCACGCCCUGACCAAACCAAAAGAGAGACAUAAAAAGGAUCUCUAAGGUCAGGGCGUGACAGAUAUACAGUAUUUUGCACACAUUUUAUUUUACAGUAAUUUUCCAAAUGAACAUGGCAUCCAAUGUACCUUGAUUAAUAAAAAGCAAUAAAUAUUUAUAAAAAUAAGUGGCGAUAGGGAGAAGGCAUGCCGCUGGCAUUAUGUUGAAAAAUCUUCUUGCCUUCCGCUAGCAGCAGUAGUGUCGCCAGUCGGGAGAAGGGUGGGUCAUGGGUGGGUGGGCUGUGUGAGGAAAAUGGCACGUGAACGGCAGGAGCACAGCUGCCGCUUGACAGGCGCCCUGUGAAUGAUGGGUAAAAAAAAGCUGUUGCACGGUGUGCGACCACUCUGAAGGGAAGCCAGCCUCCCGAUUGCUCAUUGCUAACUGUGUACUCACACGAAUCCUCUCAGGAUCCCUUCCCCUUGACCAAUUUUCCUCAACUUUCUUCACUGCCUCAGCAUACGACACCCUCUGCUUUACUCUAACCCUGGUAACCUCAACCUGCUUCUCUCACACCGGACAUUUCGGAUCUUCAGCCCCAUGGGCAUCCCUACAAUUAGCACAUACCGCUUCAUUCCCCUUUGUCUCAUGCCCUUCUGCACACUCCUCACACCUAAUAACCUCCUUCCUACACACUGCUACCACAUGCCCAUAAGCUUGGCACCUGUAAAAACUUAAUGUAUUUGGCACAUAAGCUCGUACAGGAUGACUGACAUAUCCUAACGUCACAUUGUCUUCUGUUUCACCACUCACGCCACACUGUCUGCGCUGCACCAAACGACGAGUGUCACAAACACCAGGAAUCUUUCCCUUCAGUUGGUCCACUUUCACAUUUACCGUUACCCCAGUAAUCACAAGUCACAUCGCUUGUCCCAAUUAGUUUGGCCCAAAGCCCCUGCUCCCUCUGACCAGCAGAAAUACAAACAAUCACAAGACUACUUCUGGUUACCUUCACCGAUUCCACAGCACCAAACUCCUUUUUCACCCACCCUGAAACCACAAAUGGAUCAGCCAAAAGGCAGGGUCCACUUUCUCCAGAAAUGUCACUCCUACUGUCACAGACUCAUCUUUAUCCUGACAAUUGGUGCAAGUAUCGGGCUCUGAGGACUUCACCGACCCUGCCUCCUCCAAUAAAUUGCCCUCAUUAACUUCCAUUUCUCCUCCAGACCUUGAUAUGGCUUACGGCUCACUCUGCUCCUACUUUCUAACAUUCUUCUUCGACAAACCAUCUCUCUUUUUCCCACAAUUUUUCCCAUACUCAAGCUCACCCUCUUCCUCCGUCUCUCUCUUUGACCUCCAAAUUAAUCAUAGAGGGCAGAACAAGCAAGGAGUUGGGCAGAGCCAAGCACAAGCUAGUGAGAUCCUAUUGGCGCAUUCUAGCAUUUAUUAGCAUAUUUCUGUUAGGGAACGCCUACUCUGUGAAGUGUGAGUGUGCAUUCUAGAAAACGUAGUCCACUCGGUUUGUUACAGAUUCUUGUUGUGGAAACAGAAAACUGUAUGGUGAUCAAAUAUCUUAUCGAAAUUUGCAGAAUGUCGGCCAAAUUCUAUCUCGCUCCAUCUUCUCUCACUGCCGGACACUGGGCUUCCUCUCAUCACAAUAUUUGGUAGUGAGUAGAAACGCCAAUGCGAUGCUUCACAUUUAUACAUCUGGUUAAAUAUCUGACUCAUUGUUCUAUCUAUGAUUAUACAGAUGGUAGAGCUUCAUACUGUAUAUACUGUACAGUCAUUGGCAUAGAGUCACAGAAUUACAUGUGAUUUAUAGGAUCUUUAUGUAGUCUGACGUCUCAAAAAAAAUACUCAGUUAUAUAUUUAUAUUAUUCUGAUGUGGCUCAUGGAAUAGAAUGCAUUUGUAUAAUGUUGAUUGUAACAAUAGGAAACAUUAAAUGGUACAACACAGAAACUCAAGAGUUAAGUUGACAUUCAUGCAGUCUGUCACACCUACUCCCGCUCCCCCUCUCCAGCGCACAACGUCGCUGGUCUACUAACCACCGGUCCAGGCACCAUCAUUACGCACAUCUGCGCCCCAUCAUUACGCACACCUGGACUUCAUCACCUUGAUUACUCUCCCUUAGCCCUCAGUAGCCUCAGUCAUCAGGCAGUAUUGGUUUUGUUCACAUUCAGUACUCUUCUCCCUUUUAGAUUAUUAUUUGGCUUGUUCAUGUUUAUUAAACUCACCUUCUGCACCUGCUUCCUGACUCCAAGCGCAUACGUUACAGAAUACUGCCUCAAUAAUUAUGGAACCAGCAGAAGAUAAAGAGAUCUCCCAGACUGUCGCUGAAUAGGGAUACCUACUUUGCCAACACCACGAUCAGCUGAUGCAACUGAGUGCGGCUAUGGAUGAGGUCCUCCACUGCCUCGACACCACCCGAGAGGUUUUGCCUCCAACUAGCGGAGGGCCUCCUACCACGAGUCGUCUCAGCAAGCUAGCCCCCUAGCCUACCCAGCAGUCCGCCCAGGGAGGCGAUGCCCCAAUGUCCCUCCCGGACAAGUAUGACAGGACUCCAUCCAAAUGCCGUGGCUACCUACUCCAGUGCUCCCUCUAUUUCGCCCAUCUCUCCUCGCCCUUCUCCUUUGGCCAUCCUGUGGCAGAGCGUGAACCCAUGGAGGUAGGGGCCAAACACCUCUUUUGCAGAGCGGUGUCGCCGGAGACAUGGGACUGUGUUCCUAUUGCGGCCAGGAAGUGAACCAGCUUCAGCGGUGUCCGAUGCAUCCCAACCCAGGAUGCACUGGGGCAGAGAGGCGGGCCAGUGAUCACCUGUCUGUAAUGAACACGAAGGAAGACAGAGAGUUGGUUUCAAGCGCAGGGCGCAGCAGGUGUUUAUUGCAAAGUACCACAGGAGGAGGCAGGUAGCUGGGUCCAGGGGCAGGCAGAAGGUCAUACACAGGGGGUCCAAAAGGGCAACAGUACAGGCAGGGUAAAAGCUAGUAACUUAGUCCGGGAGAUCAGGCAAUAGGUAGAUAACAGGAAAUCUGAUAGGCUAAAGUAUAGGCAAAAGGCGUUGUUAUUGAGGCAGGCAAAAUUGUUGGCCCCGUGUUUUGAGAAGUAGAUGUGGACAUCCGCCAGUCUCUGGAGAGGGAACCCACACCUGCUACCUGCCAUCCUGAGUGCAUCUACAUCCCCAUGGGGUUACGAGACCGACUGUUGACCUGGACAUCCAGGUAUCCCCUUCCCGUGCCUAGGCGGGCUUGGUCCCAUUUGUCCAUAGAAUUCGUAACUGAUCUCCCUCCGUCUGAUGGAUUCACCACUAUUAUGGUUGUUGUGGACAGAUUCUCUAAAUCCUCCUGUUUUAUCCCUCUCUCUUGUCUCCCUACCACCCUCCAGGUUGCUGAGGCACUGUUCCAGUAGGUCUUCCAGCAUUAUGGCCUUCCGGAGGACAUCGUCUCCGAACGUGGACCCAAAUUCACGUUGCGGGUCUGGAGAGCCUUCGUGGAGAAGCUGUGGCCAGGGCCAGCCUCACAUUCGGGUACUGGCCUUAGUCCAACUGGCAGGUGGAGAGGACCAACCAGGAGCUGGGGAGGUUCCUUAGGAGUCACUGCCAGGAGCGGCAGGUUUCCUUCACUGGGCGGAGUACGCCCAGAACUCCCUUCGUCAAUCCUCCACCGGGCUGACUCCCUUCCAGUGCGUCCUGGGAUAUCAGCCAGCCCUGGCCUUGUGGACCCCGAGCCAGACCAAAGCCCCUGCGAUGAACGAGUGGUUCCGGCAUGCAAAGGAAGUUUGGAACGCUGCCCACGUGAGGCUCCAGCGCGCUGUCCGCUACCAGAAGGAGCAGGUGGAUCGCCACCGCAAUGAGGCUCCCGUGUUCCAUCCUGGUGAUUGUGUCUGGCUCUACCAAGAACCUCUCGCUCCACCUGCCCUGCCGGAAGCUGAGCCCCCGGGUUUGUGGGGCCCUUCAAGGUCCUCCAGAGGGUCAACAAGGUAACAUGUCGGUUACAACUCCCCACCAACUACCGGAUCUCACCCUCUUUUGGGUCCCAGUGGCUGACAUCCUGGACCCCAACAUCGUCCGGGAUUUCUAUCUCCGCCAUCCGGAACGGCCCGCUCCUUGCCCUCGGGCCAGUACUAAUGGCCGGCGUCAUCCUGCAUGUUGUGGAGAGGUACUGUCACGUCUACUCCCGCUCCCCAUCUUCAGCGCGCCACAUGGCCGGUCUACUAAUC